GAUGAACGCUGGCGGCGUGCCUAAUACAUGCAAGUCGAACGGGGAGUAGCAAUAUCCUAGUGGCGAACGGGUGAGUAACACGUAGGUAACCUGCCUUUUAGUUUGGGAUACCCAGAGGAAACUUUGGUUAAUACCGGAUAUGAGCUUUAGAGGCAUCUCUAGAGCUUGAAAGGGGCUUCAAAGCCCCGCUUUAAGAUGGACCUGCGGCGCAUUAGCUAGUUGGUGAGAUAACAGCCCACCAAGGCUCGGAUGCGUAGCCGAUCUGAGAGGAUGAACGGCCACAUUGGAACUGAGACACGGUCCAAACUCCUACGGGAGGCAGCAGUAAGGAAUUUUCGGCAAUGGGGGAAACCCUGACCGAGCAACGCCGCGUGAGUGACGAAGGUCUUUUUGAUCGUAAAGCUCUGUUGUUAGGGAUGAACUAUACUUUUAGGAAAUGAGGAGUAUUUGACAGUACCUAACCAGAAAGCCACGGCUAACUACGUG
rnacentral:rRNA from 1 species